UAUACAUGACAUCUGUCUACAAGCCUCUAAGAGUACAUAAACGUCAUAACUAUCGGGAUAUACCCCGUCGUACCAAUAAAUUCAUGUCCAAAUUAUACUGACCAAAUAGGCAACUCCAGAGCAAAUGGAGUUCGCCGACACGCUCUGCUGAGCUGAUAGCCUAUUAGGAGGAUUGCCAACCUAUCUAUCGGAAUAUGCUGGCAUAAAAUGCAGCAUCGCAGGCAAAAGGGACGUCAGUACAAAUAAAGUACCGAGUAUGUAGGGCAUAAAAAUCAUUAUAUAAAACACAGGAAAGAAACAUAGAGUAAAGAACUCAACAUGUAUGUUUGAAUAGCUUUGUGAAUCAUGAAAUAUGUAUAAUGUCAUGCAUAUGUAUAAAUAUCAUAUCAUACAUAAGUAUAUGAGCAUAUAACAUCAAUCAAGCCUCCGAGGUCAUCCCAUUAUAUCAUCUCAGUUUCUGUGGGCGAAAUCAUAGAUGUAUAUCAGGUGGUGGUGCGUAUGUACCACAAUAACCUCUUUUCAUACCCCAUAUACAUCGGAUAUAUACAUAUAUAACGGCAUCUGGCCAUGAGUCAAUGUAUAUGUAUAAAUGAAUGCAAUGUAGAAUCAAGUAAGAUAAUAAGAUCUCUCAGAAUGUCAUAAAUUCAAUAUGUUUCGGUUAAAAUUUAUAAACUUACGUAUUUUCUGAGACCCAUGAACAGAUGAUAUAAUAAUAGGAUACAUGGGGAAUCAAGAACAUAGGCACCCAUAGUACUUCUAUAAAUAGAGUCAUUUAUGAAAGUUAUGCAUUUGCUCGUUUUGUAUAUAUCACAUGAAUCAUUCCAAAGAAAAAAAGUAUAGUCUUAACCCACUAGCACAAGAGCUCAACUCGAAUUCAAUUCACGAUCUAUACAAUUAACAAGAAUAAUACUAUUAUACAACCAUAUGAACAAUUUUCUUAAUCGCAUAACGGAAGAUAACCUAUCCCACAAUGAAAUGGAUAGUAUUUUCCAUGUUCUUAUUAUUCCCUCAAGCCUUCCGUGGGCAAGGUAAUACAACAAUACAGCUAGCAAUUCCAAUAACAAUUUUCACAACCCAAACAAUGAUACAACGAGCGGAAAGAUCGGCUACGAUUAUCAACCACACUUCUACAAUCUUUUCUUUCCUUCAAAAAACAUAUCGAUGACUACACCAACAGUAUACUCAAGUUAGUCCAACAAAUUCCAGCCAUAAAAAAACUUAGAAAAUUAUCGAAUAGUCAAUACAACAACAACGUCAAAAUAUGAUUUUUCACUAUUAAUUUCAUAAUUAUCAUCACACAAUUUAGCAACGACCUAGACGAAUUUAAAUAUACCAAGGAGAGAAAACUUCUUACCUUAUUUUCCAUGAAAAACUAUUAUUCAACCUUACUUCACAUUGAAGAAAGCCCGGAUUAACCAGCACGCCAAAAUAGAAUAGGAUAUCGAGGUGGUGCGCAAAACUCAUGUAUUGUCAUUGAGAUUACACUUUGCUUUCAUAAAAUUUUGAGCUCAUGUUGCCGAAAAUCAUCUCAAUUUAAAGUUCAUUGCUGCUGCACUAUGUUGAACCUAUCUAUUCUUCAACUUCAUUCUCAAAUCAAGUGAAACAAGAGACAUAAUUGUAACCUUUUUCUAUUUCAUAUGUCCUCCUUAGCUUCUCUCUUGA
rnacentral:lncRNA from 1 species